UAACUAAAUUAACCUGUUUUAUUUCUUAUACAAUUCUUAUUUUCUGUUUCCUUCUUGCCUCUAGGUUUCAGAUAUUUAGAGCUACAAAAUUAUAUUUUUCUUUUCAUACCUCAUACUGCUUAUACUUAAAGUUAAGAUGCUCUUAAAUUUAUAAAGUAAUUUAGUUUGUGAUUUUCAUCUUGACUGAUACAUCACACUAAAAGUUAGAUAGUGCAUGGUUUUAACAAUGCGAGUUUGGGUUUGACACUAACAUAUUAAAAAUUUUAAGAUCAUUUAUUUAUAAGUGUCUUUUCCGCAGAAACACUAAAGAUGCACUUCUGGGAGCUUUCUGGCAUAAGUCUGGAAAUCUGCUAUUGUAUGUCUAUCACGCUUUUAAAAUAAAGGUUAAAAAAAAUUGUA